rnacentral:misc_RNA from 1 species
GAAUUAGUCUGAAGCACAGUGGCAGUGGUAGCUUUAUCGGAAAUAGACACUUAACUUUGUACCGUAAUAACAGGUGUUUUUUUUAUCUGUACAGAGCAAGAGAAAAUUACUUGAUUCAGCUAAAAAUAUAAUUAAAUCGAGAAACGUCAUUAUUACGGCAAGGGACACUGACAAAAAAAAAGAAAAGGAGAGAAGAUACUGGUAAUUUACAAACCCCUUCCCACACUCUCGACACUCGAGGUUCCAACCCCGUUUCAACGCGGGGCGAAAAGGAAAAAAAGCCUCUUGAGCCAUUUCGCGAGUGUCGUCCCGAAUCGGAAGAGGGUGAACAAUAUAUAAAUUCAGAACACCCCAUCGAGCGGGGGGUGAAAGCGAACAUAGAUUUCGAAAGCAUCGACAAGCGACAGAGAAAGGCGGGUCGGACAGGGUACACAGAAUUUUUGGGGGGAUGAAAGCGGGUUCGAUGUAGCAAACCCUCUCCCUUCGUCGCGAUGCCGUGUCAACCCCUAAUUGAACGGAAGCUGGCAAUAAAUAUUAUGUUUCUUUCGUGGGGCCGGUUUUAUAAUGGCGCGCUGUCUUCGUACCUAGCGGCGGCGGAAGCGGAUGUGCAAUCAGUGUGACAUGUGCUCGUGGCGGACUUUCACAAAUUUAUUUUCCGAAGCGUCACCGGGGGUGAUUCCGGAACGAGCGAUUAAACUGAAAUUGCUGCUACGCUGACGAUGUCGGACGGUACUAUUAUUUGAUUACUUUCUGAAGGAAAUUAGGUGAUGUCAUUUGGACGCAGGUGAAAGACCUUCGUUCCACUAGUUGCUUCGAGAGCUUAGAUUUAUGGUCUUUUAGUAUUUCUUCUUUUUUAGUAUCCAAUAAGGUACUUUUAAAAAACGUAUAUACAAUAUAAUUUUUCAUAUUGUCGUUAGAUGAAUUGACGAGUUUAAAAGAGAUUGUUUGUGUUUGAUGUCAUUUGUUAACUAUGUAGAAGUAUUUUUCUUUGACGUGAUUAAAUAAAGGAUAACCUGUUACUGUGAAAGAUUGAG